ensembl:lncRNA
CAAGAAGGAGAGUAAGUCCUGCUGAGGGAGUAAAAUCACCAGCGGCACGAUCCAGCAAUUGGUUCUUGCUGCUGAUGAAUACUAAAGAGUCCUUGGCGAUCCUGCAUGCAGUUGUGCUAGAGAGCAUCAAAGUGGCCUCAAGAAGGAGAUAUUUGUGGAAGAAGCCAUUCACAAGUAAAGAGAAGUGCCAGGGAAAGGAGCUUUCAGACCGGCUGCUGUGGGAGCAAGAAAUUUAAGGGCUUUUAGGUACUCCUGCUGUAAUGCUGGGUGUCACUUCAGAGAUCUUCAGAGGUCGCUGAGUUGCAAGUAGCUGUCAAUUCGUGAGACCUGAGUAGGCAUCAUGUAGCAGUUUGGCACGCAGCACUACUGCAAUCAACACUAAUUUUGCCUAUAAACAGAUUCUUCUUGAGCUGUCGAAAAUGGCAUCACUUUCUGAGCAAUUUACUUUCUCUACCUUCCAGUAUGCCACAAGCCAUUCUACUCACUGAAGACACUAUACAGGAACAAAACAAACCUUUCAGAUUCUGGAAAUCACAUUGUUAACUUCAAAAUUUAAGCAAAGGGUUAUCCAUAUAAAGACAGUGGGUGAGAACUGCAUAUUUAUUCUAAAUAGAUCCUGAAAGAUCAUGCAAUUGUUUGUCAUCAACCUUCAGA